AAUGAAUGAAAAUGUCAACCGUUCAAGAAACUUGGGAAAACUAAACCUCAGUAGGGGAAAUGGAGAUAGUCGGUAUCCUUCGGUAAAACGGCCACCCCUGCUGCCAUCUAGAGGGAAUCAUAUAGAAUGCCAAGAAUCAAUCAUGGAAUAUCAGAAAACUUAUGAGAAGGUGUAUCCAUGUGGAGGGCAUUAAUUAAAGGUGAAAUUGGCAGAAUAUCCAGGGCAACAUUACAGUGGAGAUACUAGGACUAAAAUAAACAGGCCAAGGGAUCUACUGGAUCUUUCCAGGUGAGGUAACUCAAAUUUAGGAGCCUUCGUCGUACUGGCCACUGGUCUAUAAAUACAGACUCGUUGGGGUAUCUACAAUAUAGGAGCCUUCGUCGUAUUGGCCACUGGUCUAUAAAAACAGACUCGUUGGGGUAACUCAAAUACAGGAACCUUCGUCGUAUUGGCCACUGGUCUAUAAAUACAGACUCGUUGGGGUAUCUCAAACAUAGGAGCUUUCGUCGUAUUGGCCACUGGUCUAUAAAUACAGACUCGUUGGGGUAUCUCAAACGUAGGAGCCUUCGUCGUAUUGGCCAC